rnacentral:ribozyme from 11 species
UGUUUUUCCGCUUUCUUCUUCAAUUCUUUUGGUCCUUUCUUUCCUUCCUCUCUGUCUCACUCAGGGCGAGUCAUACGGACAGACAGACAAGCAGACAGUCACAGUCUCACAGAAAGAAAAAACAAGAG